rnacentral:rRNA from 1 species
CUACGGGCGGCUGCAGGCGCGAAACCUUUACAAUGUACGUAAGUGCGAUAAGGGAACUCCCAGUGCUCAUGUAAUGCAUGGGCUUUUGUUAAGUGUAAAUAGCUUAACGAAUAAGUGGUGGGUAAGACGGGUGCCAGCCGCCGCGGUAACACCUGCGCCACGAGUGGCAUUCACGUUUACUGGGCCUAAAGCGUUCGUAGCCGGAUAAGCAAGUCUUAAGUGAAAUCGUUGCGCUUAACAAAACGACGCGCUUGAGAUACUACUUGUCUUGGAACCGGGAGGAGUUAGGGGUAUUCCAGAGGGAGCGGUAAAAUGCUGUAAUCUCUGGAGGACCACCUGUGGCGAAGGCGCCUAACUAGAACGGGUUCGACGGUGAGGAACGAAAGCCAGGGGAGCAAAACGGAUUAGAUACCCUCGUAGUC